AAGUCGUAACAAGGUUUCCGUAGGUGAACCUGCGGAAGGAUCAUUACAGUGUUAGGCUUCGGCCUCAUUCACACCCCUUGUUGAACCUCUGGUUUCUUUGGCGAUGUCAUGGACUCGUCAAACUUUAACUCUGGUAAUGCGAUAUUGUCCGAGUGCCAUUGAAUUAUAAAAACUUUCAACAACGGAUCUCUUGGUUCCA
rnacentral:misc_RNA from 1 species